rnacentral:rRNA from 1 species
GAUGAACGCUGGCGGCGUGCCUAAUACAUGCAAGUCGAGCGAACAGACGAGGAGCUUGCUCCUUUGACGUUAGCGGCGGACGGGUGAGUAACACGUGGGUAACCUACCUAUAAGACUGGGAUAACUUCGGGAAACCGGAGCUAAUACCGGAUAAUAUUUCGAACCGCAUGGUUCGAUAGUGAAAGAUGGCUUUGCUAUCACUUAUAGAUGGACCUGCGCCGUAUUAGCUAGUUGGUAAGGUAACGGCUUACCAAGGCAACGAUACGUAGCCGACCUGAGAGGGUGAUCGGCCACACUGGAACUGAGACACGGUCCAGACUCCUACGGGAGGCAGCAGUAGGGAAUCUUCCGCAAUGGGCGAAAGCCUGACGGAGCAACGCCGCGUGAGUGAUGUAGGUCUUCGGAUCGUAAAACUCUGUUAUUAGGGAAGAACAAACGUGUAAGUAACUGUGCACGUCUUGACGGUACCUAAUCAGAAAGCCACGGCUAACUACGUG